rnacentral:rRNA from 1 species
GAUGAACGCUAGCGGCAGGCCUAACACAUGCAAGUCGAACGGCAGCACAGAUAGUUUACUAUUGGGUGGCGAGUGGCGCACGGGUGCGUAACGCGUAUGCAACCUACCUCUAACCGGGGGAUAGCCCGAAGAAAUUCGGAUUAAUACCGUAUAAUAUUAUGAGUCUGCAUGGAUUUAUAAUUAAAGUAACAACAGUUAGAGAUGGGCAUGCGUGACAUUAGAUAGUUGGAGAGGUAACGGCUCACCAAGUCAACGAUGUCUAGGGGGUCUGAGAGGAUUAUCCCCCACACUGGUACUGAGACACGGACCAGACUCCUACGGGAGGCAGCAGUGAGGAAUAUUGGUCAAUGGACGCAAGUCUGAACCAGCCAUGCCGCGUGCAGGAAGACGGCCCUAUGGGUUGUAAACUGCUUUUANAUAGGAAUAAACCCUUNUAACGUGUAGAAGGCUGAAGGUACUAUAAGAAUAAGCACCGGCUAACUCCGUGCCAGCAG